rnacentral:piRNA from 1 species
UAUGCUACAUAGCAUAUUAAAUGGGACUUU